AACCAGAGUUUCUUCUUCUCGAGGCCCAUUUGCACAGAACUUCUACGGAAAACCCUAAGCAGAUGCUCCCUCCCUGAUCUUCGUUCGUCUUUUUUCGGCGCAGCGAUCGUCCAGAUCCUGUAACGUUUAUGCUUUUAAUCGUCUUUAAUCGUCUUUAAUUCUUACCCCACUAAGAUUCUCUUCCCAACGACGAAGCUUUCUUUUGAUUCCACAUUCACGAAGCCAUUGUCGGAAACGCUUUUCGCAGAGCAGGAGGUUAAUGCACAAAUCCGAGCGAAAUUGUGACUUGCGGGGGCGAUUGAUACUGCGGGUGAUUCAGCUCUCGAAAGAUCACAUGAGUGGUGAUUCAUACGAUGGGGUAGGCCAUAUGAAGAUGAUGGAUGGGCAUUAACACAAAGAAGGCAUAGUUGAUAUCACAGGCGGAACGAGUAAGAGACCGUGGAUACUCCUACUGUAAACCAUCUUCCCAUGCCCUGAAUGUUUACCUCUGCGACACCGUUGUGGCAGAGUUCCGCCUAUCUGCCCCUUUCGUCGUCUUGAUCGCACCAGUAACACAAAAUGAGUUGGUGGCUACACAUAUACGAUUACAUACAGAGUGGAAAUAUUUGUACACGGUAACGGGGACAAAGCAACUUGUGUGCUUCUUGGAGACGCCGGUGCGGAGCUUAUUGGGUGACAAGUGAAUUCGAUAGCUACAAUCACUUUCAAUGCCUUCGCUACAAUGCCAGCUUCAGUUCUCUCGACGGUUCUUCCAACAUCGACGUUGCAGUUUUCACCGGUUCCAUCUUCGGUAUCUAGAGCCCCAAUGACGAGUGUUUCAUUGACGAAAUCUACGCUCUUGGGUCAGAGGAACAAAUAUGUACAGUUAAUGUGUCAUCUUCGUUUUUAAGUAAGGCAAAGGUGUCCGGGAAAAUAUACUCUUUCAACAAAUGGAACUACCAGCUGUGGGACGAGAAUCUGAAGUAGUACAUUGGUGAUCUCAAGGACCCAGGUCAACGUGGGAAACCUUACUCGGCAAGGUACAUUAGAACUUUGGUCAUAGACUUUUCACAGGACUUUGUUGUACGGUGGGAUUUACGUGUAUCCACGUGAUGCCAAGAGCAAAAUGAAAAGCUUAGGCUAUUGUAUGAGUAUGCACCGAUGAGUUUCAUUGUUGAACAAGCUGGAGGAAAAAGAUCAUAUGGUCACCAGAUAUAUAGUAUUAAUAUCCAACUGGCCAAGAUACAUCCGAAGGUUACGCUUUACAUUGGAAGCAAAGAAGAAAUGGAGAAGCUGGAUGAUGUAUUUGAAAGAUUCAUGAGUUUUAGUUUUGUUGAUUCCAAGAUUGCAUAAACGGUUCCAUUCUAAUAACAUUAUGUAAGGAUUAUCCUCUGCAAUUGACAUAAUGUCAUAAUUUCUGCGAAUGAGUUUGAUGAAUCCAGAAACGUAUACUCUCGCUGUU